rnacentral:lncRNA from 1 species
UAUCAGAUUAUUUCCUUUUUUCCCCUGUUAAGUUGGAUAUCAGAUAAUUGGUUAAUCCUUAUCUAUUCAUCAUUUUAUCUUCUAAUUUUUUUUCUUCUCUACUUGGUGCUGAAAGAAUCUCCGUCAACUUCCUUCACGAUCGUGCUCGCAGGAGGAGGAAUACCGGUCGUACCUUGGGUGUUAUUUCCGAUUAAUUCCGCAAGUAAGGACGAGAAUACGUCUUAGGGCAGUGCUUCGCACGCUUCUGGAUAAGAUCAUAUCUUUAUUUGGAUAUUUUGUGUUUAUCUGUAAGUUUGAUUUUAUUUUUAUCACAAAAUUAGUUAGAUUUUAAUCACAAUCAGAUUUUCGUUGUGGUAUUUACCCCAACAAUCUAAGGCGUAUCUUCCAAUCUGAUUGUGAUUAAAAAUCUAACAGGUGCUAAUCUGUUAAUUAAAAAAAAAAAAGUUAAAUAUUUUGGGAUUAGCAUUUAAAUUGUAAAUUGCAUAUAUUUAUAAUUUAAAUUGCAGUAAUUUAUAAAGUUUGAG